rnacentral:rRNA from 1 species
UACGUGGGGUGCGAGCGUUGUCCGGAAUUACUGGGCGUAAAGAGCUCGUAGGUGGUUUGUCGCGUUGUUCGUGAAAACUCACAGCUCAACUGUGGGCGUGCGGGCGAUACGGGCAGACUGGAGUACUGCAGGGGAGACUGGAAUUCCUGGUGUAGCGGUGGAAUGCGCAGAUAUCAGGAGGAACACCGGUGGCGAAGGCGGGUCUCUGGGCAGUAACUGACGCUGAGGAGCGAAAGCGUGGGGAGCGAACAGG